UUUUUCGAGAGUUUGAUCCUGGCUCAGGAUGAACGCUGGCGGCGUGCUUAACACAUGCAAGUCGAACGGGGUUA
rnacentral:rRNA from 1 species